rnacentral:rRNA from 1 species
UACGAAGGGGGCUAGCGUUGCUCGGAAUCACUGGGCGUAAAGCGCACGUAGGCGGCUUUCUAAGUCAGGGGUGAAAUCCUGGAGCUCAACUCCAGAACUGCCUUUGAUACUGGAGAGCUAGAGUCCGGAAGAGGUGAGUGGAACUGCGAGUGUAGAGGUGAAAUUCGUAGAUAUUCGCAAGAACACCAGUGGCGAAGGCGGCUCGCUGGGACGGUACUGACGCUGAGGCGCGAAAGCGUGGGGAGCAAACAGG